rnacentral:rRNA from 1 species
UACAGGGGGGGCAAGCGUUGUUCGGAAUUACUGGGCGUAAAGGGCUCGUAGGUGGCCAACUAAGUCAGACGUGAAAUCCCUCAGCUUAACUGGGGAACUGCGUCUGAUACUGGAUGGCUUGAGUUUGGGAGAGGGAUGCGGAAUUCCAGGUGUAGCGGUGAAAUGCGUAGAUAUCUGGAGGAAUACCGGUGGCGAAGGCGGUUCUCUGGGCAUGUCCUGACGCUGAGGAGCGAAAGUGUGGGGAGCGAACAGG